rnacentral:rRNA from 1 species
AGCGAACGCUGGCGGCAGGCCUAACACAUGCAAGUCGAACGAAGUCUUCGGACUUAGUAGCGGACGGGUGAGUAACACGUGGGAACGUACCUUUUGGUUCGGAACAACUCAGGGUAACGUGAGCUAAUACCGGAUGAGCCCUUAGGGGGAAAGAUUUAUCGCCGAAAGGGCGGCCCGCGUUAGAUUAGCUAGUUGGUGAGGUAAAGGCUCACCAAGGCUACGAUCUAUAGCUGGUCUGAGAGGAUGAGCAGCCACACUGGGACUGAGACACGGCCCAGACUCCUACGGGAGGCAGCAGUGGGGAAUCUUGGACAAUGGGCGCAAGCCUGAUCCAGCGACGCCGCGUGGGUGAAGAAGGUCUUCGGAUUGUAAAGCCCUUUUGUGAGGGAAGAUAAUGACGGUACCUCACGAAUAAGUCCCGGCUAACUUCGUGCCAGCCGCCGCGGUAACAC